UCACAUCUAACCUAUACUAAAAGGGUUAUAUGAGCAUCAGUGAAGCUGUCCACGUCAGCAAUUAAAUCAGCCAAUCAAAAUAGUUCUUUUUGACACGUCAGAAUCCAGUUCAGAAAAUCUAACCCUAAUGUUCUUCGAACAAGAAACGAAAGUCGCAUUCCCCCAUCCUUGGCGAGUCGAUGUCGUUUUCGCUUUCGUUCACCAUAUGAAACGCUCCGAGUUAAGAGUUCGUGUUUAAUCGCAUCAAUUCGCUCAUCCACUACGUCGUCUUCAAUGCUCUGUUUCGAUCUGCAAGGCGGUGAUUUUACAGUAUAAAUAUGUGUGUGACUUCUCCCUUUCAACCCAUCCUACACAAGCAGUGGAGUUUCUCCAUUUCACUGGCCGUUACCGGAGUCGGUUUAGAUAUCUCUCCACCGCCGCUUCACUCUUAGGGGGCAUUGACUCUUCCUUCUAAUUCGGCCUUCUCGGAGCGAGCAGCUUGCUUCCGUGAUUGUUGAUGAGCAGAAGUAAGGCGGAAACGUCUCCGGUGAGACUACUACUACGAGAUUGGUACUUUCUAACUCCAACUCUAAUCUGGAAAACGUAAAACUGAGUAUGGUGAGAUAGAUUCAUCUCAGCGUAGUUUCGUUUCCUCCAUGACUUCCAAACGAGCCUACAAGCUACGUAUCCUUAUUUUCUCUCAGAAAGUUUCUUCAUUUCCAAGUGUCUUUUGUUUUGAUUUUGAUUUUUUUUUUGUAUCAGAUGUAUGUCAAAGACCGAAACUUUCGAGCUCACCAUUUUUUAACUAUUCAAUUAGAUUUGAUGUUGGUUCAAAUGAAUUUAAUUAUAGUUCUGGGUCGCUACUUUUUUCCUUAUACGAACAGGGUCUUUAGUCUGCUUCACUAGAUUUGGGUUUAUAUAGUGAAUGGAAUCACUCUGUUCUAAAGGAUAUGGUACAAGUAGAAUCUAUCUGGGUUUGAGAGCCAUGAGAUUCUUAGUGUUCUAUCUUUCUCUGAUUCUAGGCGGAAAACAUUGUUUUGGCUCUAAAAAUUCUGAUUCGUGUGUCAAAUUUUCAUGGUACUUGACAAGAUUACAACUUUUCUUACCAUGAAAAGACAAACUUUAUAACUUGCAUUGUUGUUUAUAACUUGCAUUGUUGUUGCUUGCUUUUAUGUUAAUUGUAUAUGCUUUGUGAGCUCAUAGUAGCUAUACAUUUACAGGUUUUUGAUCUUACAGAUGUGAAACACCAUGAUUUUGUACGUUAAGGUUUGGCGUUUUUGAGACCUUUGCAGCGAAAGGGGAUGAUUGUGCAAGAGAAUGCAGAGAAAAGAUGCAGAUCAUGGUAGCAGGUGGUGAUGGUACAGGUGCUCGGGUUCGCCAAUCUCUUAUCCAUAAGUAAGUGGCAAUGUCAAUAUACUGUUGACAGAAGUUUUCAGCUGGCAUAGCUCCAUGUAUAGUAGUGAUAUUCUUCCCCUCUCAAGUGUUUAAUGAAAGUCAUCCACCAUGGAGUUUUCUCUAUAAAUAAGUUUUUGAUGUUGGUUAUGUUUGAAAGUGACAAGGACCCGGUAAGUACUCUAGGUAAGUAGGUGUAUUCAUAUAAUUGGAGAAUAAACAGCGUGUCAUUGUUGGUUUGUUUCAAA